GUGGUUGUAGCUCAGUGGUAGAGCUCUUGCUUAGCAUGUGUGAAGCACUGGGUUCGAUUCUCAGCACCACA
rnacentral:tRNA from 1 species